rnacentral:miRNA from 1 species
UUGGGGGCCUGGGAGGGUGACAC